rnacentral:rRNA from 1 species
UACGUAGGGGGCAAGCGUUGUCCGGAAUUAUUGGGCGUAAAGCGUCCGUAGGCGGCUUUACAAGUCAGCUGUUAAAGCGUGGAGCUUAACUCCAUAAAGGCAGUUGAAACUGUGAGGCUAGAGUGCGGUAGGGGUAAGGGGAAUUCCCAGUGUAGCGGUGAAAUGCGUAGAUAUUGGGAAGAACACCGGUGGCGAAAGCGCCUUGCUGGACCUGCACUGACACUGAGGGACGAAAGCUAGGGGAGCGAAAGGG